rnacentral:rRNA from 1 species
UGAUUGCGGCGACGUGGGCGGUUAGCUGCCCGCGACGUUGUGAGAAGUCCACUGAACCUUAUCAUUUAGAGGAAGGAGAAGUCGUAACAAGGUUUCCGUAGGUGAACCUGCGGAAGGAUCAUUG